GUGACUUCGGCUCCCUGGCGCUCAGAGGCUUCCGCCGGAAAACGUGGGAAUCGGAUCUUCCCCGGAGGCUUGCUGGAUGGCCAGAGACCAGCUACGGGGGGUAAACAUGUGCCCUCUGUGGGCUGGUCCCCACAUGCUUCUGCUGUCCGGUGCCCUCUCUAUUGGCCUGCCUUUGGAUGGGAUCUUCACUUGACAGUCCGGGUCUGCUGGAGUUUGCGCGGUGUCUCGGUGAUGGAGUCUCGGACAGACACGUUGAGAGAUAGCCCCCUGGGGCACGGGGCCGAGAACACAGCAACAAAUAUUUACUAAUUCCAUUAACAGAAGAGGUUUUUUUUUUUUUCCUUUUUUUCUUCUUUUUCCCCAAGAGAAUAUCUGAGGCCCCAAGUUCAUGGGACUGUCUCCGUUCCCCAGGGCUGCCACCACCAACCACUGCAAAUGAGACGGCUGAAAACAACAGAGAUGUGUUCUCCCCACACUCCCGGCGGCCUGAAGUCCAAGAUCGAGGAGUUGUCAGGGCCUUGCGCCCUCCGGAGGUCCCAGGGGAGAAGCCCUCCUCGCCCCUCCCAGCUCCUCAUGGUCCCAGGAGCCCCUCCGCCUGUGGCUGCAUCAUUCUAAUGUCUGCCUCUGUCUUCCCGGGGCCUUCCUGUGUGUCUCCGGCUUCCUGCUCCUUUUUCUUAUGAGGACCGUUACCAGCGGAUUUGGGGCCCGGUGCAAUCCAGGGUGCUCUCUUGAGAUCCUUCACGGCCUCUGCAAAACCCUCCUUCCAAGGAGGGUCACAUUCCCGGGUACGGGAAGUCAGGGCCGAGACCCGUGUCUGGGGGACCACUGCGAAACCCAGCGCCGCCACCAUCCGAGUUUCCUCAGCAGGGUCACGG